CCCGGUUGAUCCUGCCGGUAGUGAUAUGCUUGUCUCAAAGAUUAAGCCAUGCAUGUCUAAGUAUAAAUGACUUAUACAGUGAAACUGCGAAUGGCUCAUUAAAUCAAUUAUCAUUUACUUGAUAAUACCUUACUAUAUGGAUAACCGUAGUAAUUCUAGAGCUAAUACAUGCUAAAAGGUGCGACUUUUUGGAAGCACUGCAUUUAUUAGAUACAAAACCAAUGCCCCGCAAGGGGUUUAGUGAUGAUUCAUAAUAACUUUGCGGAUCGUAUGCCCUAGCGGUGACGACGCAUCAUUCAAAUUUUUGCCCUAUCAACUUUCGUCGGUACGGUAGUGGCCUACCGAGGUUUCAACGGGUAACGGAGAAUAAGGGUUCGAUUCCGGAGAGGGAGCCUGAGAAACGGCUACCACUUCCAAGGAAGGCAGCAGGCGCGUAAAUUACCCAAUCCCGAUUCGGGGAGGUAGUGACAAGGAAUAACAAUACAGGGUCCAACGGAUCUUGUAAUUGGAAUGAGAACAAUCCAAACCCCUUAACGAGUAUCAAUUGGAGGGCAAGUCUGGUGCCAGCAGCCGCGGUAAUUCCAGCUCCAAUAGCAUAUAUUAAAGUUGUUGCAGUUAAAACGCUCGUAGUUGAAUCUCGGGCCGGACGGGACGGCGGGCCAUGAGGCUUUAGCUUGACUCGCUGGUCAAAAUCUUUCCGGAGUAGACCGUAUGCACUUAACUGGGUGUGCGGAGAACUCUGCUCCGGACGUUUACUUUGAAAAAAUUAGAGUGUUCAAAGCAGGCGUUUUCGCUGUGAAUAUCUUAGCAUGGAAUAAUGAAAUAUGACUUUGGUUGUGUUUUGUUGGUUUUAAUGACCGAAGUAAUGAUUAAUAGGGAUAGUUGGGGGCAUUUGUAUUUCGUUGUCAGAGGUGAAAUUCUUGGAUUUACGAAAGACAAACUACUGCGAAAGCAUCUGCCAAGGAUGUUUUCAUUAAUCAAGAACGAAAGUUGGGGGAUCGAAGAUGAUCAGAUACCGUCGUAGUCUCAACUAUAAACGAUGCCGACCAGGGAUUAGAAGCUGUUAAUUUGCAUGACGCUUCUGGCACCUUUGGAGAAAUCAGAGUGUUUGGGUUCUGGGGGGAGUAUGGUCGCAAGGCUGAAACUUAAAGGAAUUGACGGAAGGGCACCACCAGGAGUGGAGCCUGCGGCUUAAUUUGACCCAACACGGGGAAACUCACCAGGUCCAGACAUAGUAAGGAUUGACAGAUUGAGAGCUUUUUCUUGAUUCUAUGGGUGGUGGUGCAUGGCCGUUCUUAGUUGGUGGAGUGAUUUGUCUGGUUGAUUCCGUUAACGAACGAGACCUCAGCCUGCUAAAUAGUUACUGGAUCUCACGAUUCAGGGCAACUUCUUAGAGGGACUAUUUGCGUCUAGUGAAUGGAAGUUUGAGGCGAUAACAGGUCUGUGAUGCCCUUAGAUGUCCUGGGCCGCACGCGCGCUACACUGACAAAGUCAACGAGUAUAUAACCUUGCCCGAAAGGGUUGGGUAAUCUCUUAAAUUUUGUCGUGAUGGGGAUUGACUAUUGUAAUUAUUAGUCAUAAACGAGGAAUUCCUAGUAAGUGCAAGUCAUCAGCUUGCGUUGAUUACGUCCCUGCCCUUUGUACACACCGCCCGUCGCUCCUACCGAUUGAAUGUUCCGGUGAAAUCUAGGGAUUGCGGCGACUUAGCUUCACGGCCAGGUUGUUGCGAGAACUUGCUUAAACCUUAACAUUUAAAGGAAGGAGAAGUCGUAACAAGGUU
rnacentral:rRNA from 1 species